GACGAACGCUGGCGGCGUGCCUAAUACAUGCAAGUAGAACGCUGAAGGAGGAGCUUGCUUCUCCGGAUGAGUUGCGAACGGGUGAGUAACGCGUAGGUAACCUGCCUGGUAGCGGGGGAUAACUAUUGGAAACGAUAGCUAAUACCGCAUAACAGUAGAUAUUGCAUGAUAUCUGCUUGAAAGGUGCAAUUGCAUCACUACCAGAUGGACCUGCGUUGUAUUAGCUAGUUGGUGAGGUAACGGCUCACCAAGGCGACGAUACAUAGCCGACCUGAGAGGGUGAUCGGCCACACUGGGACUGAGACACGGCCCAGACUCCUACGGGAGGCAGCAGUAGGGAAUCUUCGGCAAUGGACGGAAGUCUGACCGAGCAACGCCGCGUGAGUGAAGAAGGGUUUCGGAUCGUAAAGCUCUGUUGUAAGAGAAGAACGAGUGUGAGAGUGGAAAGUUCACACUGUGACGGUAUCUUACCAGAAAGGGACGGCUAACUACGUG
rnacentral:rRNA from 1 species